rnacentral:misc_RNA from 1 species
CCUAGAGUUGUAGGCUUUGCCUGCUAUCUCUUACCCAUGUCUUUUGAGUACUUACGUUUCCUCGGCGGGUCCGCCCGCCGAUUGGACAAUUUAAACCAUUUGCAGAUGCAAUCAGCGUCUGAAAAACUUUAAUAGUUA